UGGGGAAUAUUSCGCAAUGGGGGAAACCCUGACGCAGCAAUGCCGAGUGAGUGAGGAAGGCCUUCGGGUUGUAAAGCUCUGUCAGAAGGGAAUAAUGGUAUAGGGUCCAAUAGGCCUUAUAUUUGAAGGUACCUUCAAAGGAAGCACCGGCUAACUUCGUGCCAGCAGCCGCGGUAAUA
rnacentral:rRNA from 1 species